CGAGCGAGACCCACGUCCACAGUUGCCAGCAUACCCUCCGGGGUGGAUGGGUACACUGUGGAGACCGCCGCUGCUAAAGCGGAGGAAGGAGUGGGCAACGGUAGGUCAGUAUGCCCCGAAUCUCCCGGGCUACACGCGGGCUACAAUGGUUGGUACAAUGGGCAUCUACCCCGAAAGGGGAAGGAAAUCUCUUAAAGCCAAUCGUAGUUCGGAUUGAGGGCUGCAACUCGCCCUCAUGAAGCUGGAAUCCGUAGUAAUCGCGUUUCAACAGAGCGCGGUGAAUACGUCCCUGCUCCUU
rnacentral:rRNA from 1 species